rnacentral:rRNA from 1 species
GAUGAACGCUGGCGGCGUGCCUAAUACAUGCAAGUCGAGCGAACAGAUGAGGAGCUUGCUCCUCUGACGUUAGCGGCGGACGGGUGAGUAACACGUGGAUAACCUACCUAUAAGACUGGGAUAACUUCGGGAAACCGGAGCUAAUACCGGAUAAUAUAUUGAACCGCAUGGUUCAAUAGUGAAAGACGGUUUUGCUGUCACUUAUAGAUGGAUCCGCGCCGCAUUAGCUAGUUGGUAAGGUAACGGCUUACCAAGGCAACGAUGCGUAGCCGACCUGAGAGGGUGAUCGGCCACCCUGGAACUGAGACCCGGUCCCGACUCCUACGGGAGGCAGCAGUAGGGAAUCUUCCGCAAUGGGCGAAAGCCUGACGGAGCAACGCCGCGUGAGUGAUGAAGGUCUUCGGAUCGUAAAACUCUGUUAUUAGGGAAGAACAAAUGUGUAAGUAACUAUGCACGUCUUGACGGUACCUAAUCAGAAAGCCACGGCUAACUACGUG